rnacentral:rRNA from 1 species
AUACGAAGGGGGCUAGCGUUGUUCGGAAUUACUGGGCGUAAAGCGCGCGUAGGCGGAUUGGUCAGUUAGGGGUGAAAUCCCAGGGCUUAACCCUGGAACUGCCUCUAAUACUGCCAGUCUUGAGUUCGUGAGAGGUGAGUGGAAUUCCUAGUGUAGAGGUGAAAUUCGUAGAUAUUAGGAAGACCACCAGUGGCGAAGGCGGCUCACUGGCCCGAUACUGACGCUGAGGCGCGAAAGCGUGGGGAGCAAACAGGAUUAGAUACCCCAGUAGUCC